UACGUAGGGUGCGAGCGUUAAUCGGAAUUACUGGGCGUAAAGCGUGCGCAGGCGGUUCGCCAAGUCAGGUGUGAAAUCCCCGGGCUUAACCUGGGAAUUGCGCUUGAAACUAGCGGGCUAGAGUGUGGCAGAGGGGGGUGGAAUUCCACGUGUAGCAGUGAAAUGCGUAGAGAUGUGGAGGAACACCGAUGGCGAAGGCAGCCCCUGGGUCAACACUGACGCUCAGGCACGAAAGCGUGGGGAGCAAACAGGAUUAGAUACCCCUGUAGU
rnacentral:rRNA from 1 species